rnacentral:sRNA from 1 species
AGAGCUGAGCCCGAGGGGAAUCCAGAAGGGACACGCUGAACAGGAACAGAAAUGAAUAAAAGUCGCUGGCAGAGUAGAAGACAUGGGAGAAGAAGCCACCAGCAGAACCCUUGGUUCAGACUCCGUGAUUCUGAAGACAGGUCUGACUCCCGGGCAGCACAGCCCGCUCACGAUUCCGGCCACGGUGAUGACGAGUCUCCGUCGACCUCGUCUGGCACAGCUGGGACCUCCUCUGUGCCAGAGCUACCUGGAUUUUACUUUGACCCUGAAAAGAAACGCUACUUCCGCUUGCUCCCUGGACAUAACAACUGCAACCCCCUGACGAAAGAGAGCAUCCGGCAGAAGGAGAUGGAGAGCAAGAGACUGCGGCUGCUCCAGGAAGAGGACAGACAGAAAAAGAUUGCCAGGAUGGGAUUUAAUGCAUCUUCCAUGCUACGAAAAAGCCAGCUGGGUUUUCUCAACGUCACCAAUUACUGCCAGUAAGACAGUGCCUCUUUGUUAUGUUUUCUUCAUGAAUGUUCUUUUCUUUCUUAUUUUCAUGGUAUAAGAAUCCA